CANUGGGAGGAACUCUGAUGCAGCGAUGCCGCGUGAGGGAAGAAGGUUUUANGAUUGUAAACCUCUGUCUUCAGGGACGAAAAAAAAGACGGUACCUGAGGAGGAAGCUCCGGCUAACUACGUGCCAGCAGCCGCGGUAAAACGUAGGGUGCAAGCGUUGUCCGGAAUUACUGGGUGUAAAGGGAGCGCAGGCGGACCGGCAAGUUGGAAGUGAAAACUAUGGGCUCAACCCAUAAAUUGCUUUCAAAACUGCUGGCCUUGAGUAGUGCAGAGGUAGGUGGAAUUCCCGGUGUAGCGGUGGAAUGCGUAGAUAUCGGGAGGAACACCAGUGGCGAAGGCGACCUACUGGGCACCAACUGACGCUGAGGCUCGAAAGCAUGGGUAGCAAACAGGAUUAGAUACCCUGGUAGUCCAAGGGCGAAUUC
rnacentral:rRNA from 1 species